CAAGAUCUCGACACAUUAAGGAGGCGAUGGACAAAAGCGACGCGCCAAAAUAUACAUACAAAGGAACCAAAUUUAUAUGCCAACAACAAACUGAGACAGCGACA